rnacentral:tRNA from 1 species
ACCUGGGUGGCUCAGUUGGUUAAGCAUCUGACUUCGGCUUAGGUCAUGAUCUCGUGGUCUGUGGGUUCAAGCCCCACAUCAGGCU